UACAGAGGUGGCAAGCGUUGUUCGGAAUUACUGGGCGUAAAGGGCGCGUAGGCGGCCUUGUAAGUCCUGUGUGAAAUCCCCCGGCUCAACUGGGGAACUGCACAGGAGACUGCUUGGCUUGAGUUCGGGAGAGGGAAGCGGAAUUCCAGGUGUAGCGGUGAAAUGCGUAGAUAUCUGGAGGAAUACCGGUGGCGAAGGCGGCAUCCUGGACCGGCAUUGACGCUGAGGAGCGAAAGCCAGGGGAGCAAACGGG
rnacentral:rRNA from 1 species